UAGAUGCAAGCAACUUACAUAAGAUUGAUUAGAAGUGUUGAAUAAACCUCCUAAAAGCUAAAGGACCUAAACAAGUGGCUUCUGUUUCUUGUUAGAGGCAGAAAAUACAAAUGCCACACCUUUGCUGGCAGUACAAUUGUGAUAAGAGACAAAAGAGUUGUCAUUGAUAGACAAGAAUAUUCGUAGAAUUUUUUACUCAAUUCAACUGCUCCACGCAAUUCAACUGCUCCAUUCCUUAUAUUUUUAAAAUUUUCUGGUCCACCUCGUCUACAAUGUUUCCUCUCUCUUACCAUUUUCAUUUUCCAAAUUACACCUCCUGCAAACAACCCCUUUCUCUCCCCACUCUAAUUAGUAAUUUCCAUAUCUAAAGGACCCUCAAACCCCUAUCCAUACCCGUAUCCGAAUCUAAACGGCAAAAACCCGCCACCAUUUCAAAGUCAUGGCAACCACAACCACCAACCCUCCACCACCUCAACCCGACCCGACCACCCAAAGCACCCGUCUCCAAGAAAUCAAGCAAUUCGAUGAAUCCAAAAUCGGAGUCAAAGGCCUAGUUGACCGCGGCCUACCCGCCAUUCCCUCCUUCUUCAUCCAUCCCAAGCCAGCCGAACUAAACCCGAAAGACCCGAAUAACAGACCCGGCACGAAGCCCACCAUCCCCGUCAUAGACUUCUCCUCUUCCAGGUCGACGAUCGUUGACGAAAUCCGGCGAGCAUCUUCUACACUGGGGUUCUUCCAAAUCAUCAACCACUCCGUCCCAGUUGCCUCAAUCAAGAAAAUCUUGGGUUCAAUUCAAGAGUUUUACGAGCUGCCGGAAGAUGCAAAAAUGGAGUAUUACACCAGGGAUAUGUCACGUGGGGCGGCUUAUUCCACAAAUUUCGAUCUCUACCAAUCAAAGGCCGCCAGCUGGAGGGACACCUUCCAGAUGGGCUUGGCGCCAAACCCGCCGAAAUGGGAGAACGUGCCGUUCAGCUGCCGGGAGACAGUGGCGGGAUGGGACAAAGAGGUGGUGAAAAUAUCCAAGGAAGUUUUGGAAAUCUUAUCUGAAGGGUUGGGACUGGAAAAGAAGGAUAAAUUGAAGGAAUUGUCAGACGGCAGAGUUAUGGCUGCCCAUUACUACCCGUACUGCCCGCAGGCGGAAUUGACGGCUGGGCUGACGUCACAUACUGAUCCGGGGCUGCUGACCGUGCUGGUGCAGAAUGAAGUGCCCGGGUUGCAGGUCAAAGUGGGAGAAGAUUGGGUGGACGUGGUGCCUGUAGAGGGCGCAAUUGUGUUUAACAUUGGGGAUAAUCUUCAGGUGGGAGGGUUAUGGCUGCCCAUUACUAUCCAUAUUGCACACAGCCGGAACUGACUGAUGGGUUGACAUCACAUACUGACCUGAGGCUGCUGACUAUGCUGGUGCAAAAUGAGGUGCCGGGGUUGCAGGUCAAAAUUGGGGAGGGGUGGGUUGAUGUGGAGCCUGUGAAGGGUGCUAUUUUGUUCAAUAUUGGGGAUCUUUUCCAGAUAAUGUCGAAUGAUCAAUACAAAAGCGUGGAGCACAGAGUGUUGGCAAACCCUCUCCGAGAUGCUCGUGUAUCUGUUGCUGUUUUUCUGAAGCCAAGCCAUAGUGAUCAGCUGUGUGGACCUUUUCCUGAACUUGUAUCUGCUGAAAAACCAGCUGUUUACAGGCAGUUCACACUGUCUGAUUACAUGGGAAGAUUUUUCUCCAAGGAGUUGGAUGGCAAGACGCUGACAAACUACUACAGAAUUUGAAACACAAGAAUCAGCUGAACAUUAAGAAAAUAAUCGAUUUGUGUACCACAUAUUCCGAGGAGCAAAAUUAAGUAGAUUAAGAAAAUAAUCCAUCUGCCAUAGGACGGUGUAAAUUUCUGUCUUACAAGGAAUACAUGAAUAGAAAGUUGUCCCAGGACUUGGAUGAGAUACAAUUGUCUUUAAGAUUCUUGUUUGAUUAAUGUGAUCUCCAAUUACAACUA